GUCUACGGCCAUAACACCCUGAAUGCGCCCGAUCUCGUCUGAUCUCGGAAGCUAAGUAGGGUUGGGCCUGGUUAGUACUUGGAUAGGAGAAAAGCUGUGACAUGGAUC
rnacentral:rRNA from 1 species